CAGCCGCCGCGGGAACACGUAGGGUGCGAGCGUUAAUCGGAAUUACUGGGCGUAAAGCGUGCGCAGGCGGUUAUAUAAGACAGAUGUGAAAUCCCCGGGCUCAACCUGGGACCUGCAUUUGUGACUGUAUAGCUAGAGUACGGUAGAGGGGGAUGGAAUUCCGCGUGUAGCAGUGAAAUGCGUAGAUAUGCGGAGGAACACCGAUGGCGAAGGCAAUCCCCUGGACCUGUACUGACGCUCAUGCACGAAAGCGUGGGGAGCAAACAGGAUUAGAUACCCCGGUAGUCCCUGUCUCUUAUAC
rnacentral:rRNA from 1 species